UCGAUAUGCUCUCAAUGGUGCAGCUGUAGAACUUUUGAGGAUCUGAGGGCCCAUGCCAAACAUUUCAGCCUCCUGAGGGGGAAGAGGCAUUGUUGUGUCCUCUUCAUGACGGGGGAAGAGGCGUUGUCGUGCCCUCUUCAUGACUGGGGAAGAGGCGUUGUCGUGCCCUCUUCAUGACUGGGGAAGAGGCGUUGUCGUGCCCUCUUCAUGACUGGGGGAAGAGGCGUUGUCGUGCCCUCUUCAUGACGGGGGAAGAGGCGUUGUUGUGCCCUCUUCAUGACGGGGGAAGAGGCGUUGUUGUGCCCUCUUCAUGACGGUUGGUGUGUGUGGACCACGAUCCUUAGUGAUGUGGACACAGAGGAACUUGCAGCUCUCGACCUGCACCCCUGCAGCCCCGUCCAUGUGGAUGGGGGCGUGCUCGGCCCUCCAUUUCCUGUAGUCCACAAUCAGCUCCUUUGUCUUGCUGACCUUGAGGGAGAGGUUGUUGUCCUGGCACCACACUGCCAGGGGUCUGACCUCCUCCCUAUAGGCUGUCUCAUCGUUGUCGUCGAUCAGGCCUACCAUCGUCGUUCCAUUUGCAAACAUAACGAUGAUGUUGGGAGUCGUGAGAGGCCAUACAUUCGUGGGUGAACAGGGAGUACAGGAGGGGACUAAGCACGCACCCCUGAGGGGCCAACGUGUUGAGGUUCAGGGUGGCACUGUGGUGUCACCAGAGAGACACAUUCAGUCAGG
ensembl:lncRNA